rnacentral:rRNA from 1 species
UACGUAGGGUGCGAGCGUUAAUCGGAAUUACUGGGCGUAAAGUGUGCGCAGGCGGCUUGGCAAGUCGGGUGUGAAAUCCCGGGGCUCAACCCCGGGACUGCAUUCGAUACUGUCAGGCUAGAGGUAGGUAGGGGAGAUCGGAAUUCCUGGUGUAGCGGUGAAAUGCGCAGAUAUCAGGAGGAACACCGGUGGCGAAGGCGGAUCUCUGGGCCUUACCUGACGCUCAGGCGCGAAAGCUAGGGGAGCGAACAGG